GGGGUGGUGGAGAUGUGGGCCGCAGAGCUGCGUGGCCGGGGCUGUGCGGAUUCCCUAAACGCCGCACUUGCGCACAGCCCCUUACGUAACUGUCAGCGCCGGGGAUUCCCUAGAGGGGGUCAUUCUAUUCAACCAUUACACACACCCGGGGCUGCUGCCGCCGCGCCGCCGCCGCCUCACAAAAUGGCGGCGCCCAUAGAGGAGCUAGCGGCCGCCUCCUCGGCCCCAUUUUGUGGGAGGCGAGAGAUCUGUCAACAUGGAAUACCUCGGCUGAGGAUGCGUCCGAGUUUGGAGAUUCUGCUUAAGGGAUGGAGCCGAGGGGACCUCAUUCAACGGAAAACGGCAGUGACUUCUAUUACCUCCACGCCUUUUUUUUUUUUUUUUUUUUUUUUUACUAUUUUCGUUUUCUCGAAGGAAGCGCCAGAAGCUGCCGGGGUAAUUUUAACUAAGGGGAGAAGGGAAAGCUUCGGCUGACUGCUCGGGGGACUUGCCGCGGCGUCUUGGUAGCUUUGGUUGCCCUUUCUCCUCCCGGCAGCUGACCGCGGUCUCGCAGAGAGUCGCCUGAGCAGCCCGGCCCGCUCCGAGGGGACGAGGACAGGGCGACGCGGAACGAAAGCGGCGGCCUCAGCCGCGCCACUUGCGCAAGCGAGACUUUUCGAUAGUUUUUAAGUGUCAGAGUCCACAGCACCGUCGGUACCCUCAUCAGGGUCGUGGGCUUGGGAAUCUCGGACGCCCAGCUCCGGGAACUCGCGGUCGGCCGGGAGCCGGAGAGCGGGGAAGCCGGGUUGCGGGGAACCGGCGAUACUAGGGGAGUCCGGCAGUCCUGGCCCGCCGGGUGGUCGCGAUCCGGACCCGGGUCCGGGAUGGUGCUGAGGGGGCAGGAGUGGCAACGAAGGCACGUACACUGGAAUUUAGGUCGUCCGAGUCGGGAUUUAGGGUUGUGUGUUGCCAGUGUCUCAGGUCAGACGUUAGAACAUCUUUUCUAGUAUGCUACUCUGCAGUGGGCAAAUCUGUUUGUCUUACUUCAUAUGGAAGGGCGGAGUGGAGGGAUGACAUUUUUUAUUUUUCAGGGGGAGGUUGCCACUUUUAAGCCACUGUUUGCUGUUAAUGUGUAUUUGUGUGUAUACACACGUGCAUAUACAGGAGUGUGUUUUGCUUUUAAGUACAAAUUUCGAAAGGUAAAGACCUGGAGUGUGAUACGUUUUAAUGAUCUUAAAAAAAAAUUAAGACGUGAUAUGUAACUGGAGAGUUGACUCUGAAAAAACAAAACAAAACCCUUUUCUGAAAAGAAGCUGUCAUCUUCAAAAUGGAGUCCUAAAGUAUAUCUGAUGAAUAGAAUUUAAAUUCAUAACAUUUUGUAUAUGCUCUAGGCAAAGAAAAAAAAACCAUAAAAUUUAAUGUAUAACAGAUUACUACACGGUCCAACUUCUCCAAAACUAGAAAAAUGUAAACCAAAAGCUAUUAAGGGUAUUUGCUUUUAAGAGGAAUGCAUAGGUUUAAGAGAAGAGGAGAUACAUCUGAUGAAACUUAAAUAUGCAUUUUGGGAAUAAUUUAUUUCAAAUGUUUUUUUACAAUGGCAGCAAUCAUUUGUAUUUCCACGAGGGAUUUUUUUUUAAGUGUUUUAUUUAGGUUGAUUUUGACCCUCGUAUUUCCUCUCUAGUGCAAAACUGCAUUUUUCUGCAGGCUACGCCUCAAUCACUAAGUUCCCUGCCUGGGUCCUCUGCCGCACCCGAUUGCUACUCCUGAUGGGUGGAUUAUCAAAAUAUAGCUUCUGGUACUGUCUGUUCCUACUGAUGUUCUUUAUAUUUAAUAAAUUUAGUUACCACUAAUCAGUCUGUACCUCUUGCAAGAAUACCCUAUCUUAGACCCCAAGUACCCAGGGAAUUUUUUUUUAUGGGAUUGCACUAACAGUAACCUUAGCGUAUAGUAUUAUAUUUCUUUGUACCAUAUUGCAUUUCCUAUAGUGGGCAGCAUAGAGCAGGUGGAUCCUGGGAAAAAAAUACUAGGAAAGUGCAACAGUUUUACAAUAUUCUGUAAUUUGAUGAUAUAAAUAAAAUGUAGUUCAUAGUUUUUGAGCAUUAAUAGAAAUUAUUCCUAUAAAAAUUACCAAUGACAAUGGAAAUUGUUGAAACUAAAUUUGUAUAGUUUACUGUUCUGAUGAGAAAUAUUCACAAAACCUUUUCGAUGUGAAAAAAUGCAGAAGUGUGGUUUUUAAUAGUAACUGCAAACCCGGAACAUCAUAAUUAGAGGUUUCUGUUAUUUUAUAUGCAUCUCUGAUUCUUAUCAUCAGUUUUAAUAUUAUUUAAUCAAGAAAUAGUAAUGUUUAAAAUGCCCUCAUUCAAGUAAACAAAAAAAUAAAUAAACCAAAUUUCAAAUCAAGCAUGUCAGUUUAUAAAAUUACAGCAGCUGAACUAAAUUGAGGAAUUGGUACAUUGAUUAAUUGGAGAAAUUUUUAGAUUUUAAGUUAUGGUUUAAAAGAAUUGGUUGAACAAGAUAUUGAACUUACAUUUUUAUUUCUUUAAAGAUGAUCUUAAGAAGAAAGCAACUGGUAAGAUAAGAAAAUGCUUUCACCACUUGUUGCUCUUGCCUGUGUCUACUGCUGUACUUUUUUAUGUGGGCUAACUUACUUGAAUCUUUGAUUACAAUAUCAAAUUAUAGAUAAAGUCUUUCUUCAGAUGGUGACUCUUAAGGAGUACUGGUAACUAAACUUUUAAAAAGUGAGGAGAUAGUUUGUUGUACUGCAGAUUUAAAUAAUUGAAAAGUAGAAGUUCUGAAUCUGCAAUUGACUGAGAUUUGAAUGAUUUGUCCCUAAAGGGUCUGAUAAAUCUUGGGGGAUUUUUUUGUUGUAGUUUCUUUUCAAUAGAUAUUAAAGGCUAUGCUUUGUACAUAAAUCUAGUGCAGUUUGUUAAAAACAAAAGAUAAUUUCCAACUAUUAAAGACCUUUUAAUAAGACUUAAUAAUUAAAAAAUCAUAUUUUAACCAAUUACAGUUUUCUUUCGAGAGCCAUCCGUAAGUGUGCUUUUGACAGGGAGUUCUCAUUAAUUGUUUAGGUCAGUUAACUAAUCUUGAAUUUUUAAAAUUGUUAUGGGUUUAGUGUGCUACAUUUGUGCAUUAUUAUUUAUUUCAUCUAAUUUGAUCACUGAAAAGAACAGUAGGCCCCAAACUGUUCUUUAUAAAGUAUCACAGUUUAUAGUAGCUUAACACUUUGUUUAUAGUAUUUAAUAACUUAACGAAAACUAGGAGAGCAUAAAUACUAAACCAAGGAUAUAUUUAUUUUUAUCAAUGCAGAUUACUAAAUCACUGAAUAAAUAUUUAUUGAAUGCCUACCUUGGGUAAAAGAUAGGAGGGCAAGAGAAAGUGACUUGGCUCUCAAGGAAAUUAUACUCCAGUACUAGAUUUUUUCUUAACUGCUAGCUUUAAAAGAUUAUAAUGAACUAUUCAGACCAUAGGGUUCUUAAUUUUUAAUACUUAAGUAGGAUAUGUAGCACAGAGUUAAAUUCAAAAUUCUAUUUAAAAUAGAGACAUUUAAAUAUAAUUAUGUACAAAAUAGCAUUACAUUACUGUUAGGAUCAAUGUAAGAUUAAUGUUAUUCAAAGUGCUGUAAAAAUAUUAAUAACAGCAUUUAAAUCACAUCCUUUGAAAACUCAGAUCCACAAAAAAUAUGAUUCCAGUAAUUAACUUUUUAAUUAUGGGAGAAGCAAGGGGGUGUAAAAAAUAUACUCCUGAGCAAACGAACAGGAAUUGUUUUAAUGAAAUUUGAUUUUCUGUUUCAAUUUUUUGGUACAUUGACUCUUCUGACAUUGCACUUUGCUAUUAAUUUAAAAAAAUUAAACUCCAAAGACACAUUAAUUCUGUAUUUAAUGCAGAUUUAAUUCUUGACUAGAUGUAAAGCUUAAAGAAUUGGCAGUCUUGUUGGUGAAACAAUAAAAUAGGAAUUAAGCCAAGAUGCAAAACUAUGUAAUAAUUAGGUUUUAUAAAUAUAUAUAUACAGGUUUUCCUUUGUAGCUAUAUGAAUCAGAGUAGUAUUGACUUAAUAAUAAUUUAGUUUUUGUUUUUCUCUGAAAACAUACCACAAACUACAUAUCAAAAUAGAAAGUCAACCAGGGCCGGUGUAAAUUAUUGAGGCUUAUUGUUAAGGGAAAUUCUAACCAACAGCUCAAUGGCAACAAUUUUUUAAAGGUGCCACGGUACUUUGAUGUAAUUCAUAGGAUAUAGAACUCAAAAAUAUUCUAGAAUCAUCUUCAUGUGAUAAUGUACAUGAGAAAUCCUUCUAAUAUGUUCUUUGGGGGUAUAAAAUAACUGAUUUAUUAUUUUAUAGGUAGCUACAAUGCUUGCAGGUAUUUUAAACAUAGAUGAAAAUUUUAGGAGUGUUGUACUAUAUCUUAUAACCUAAUUUCCCUCUUAUUAAUAAUACUGAUAUUAAACAGCCAUUAGUCAUUAUUGAUAGCCUAAAUAAAUAUAAGUGUAGGUCCUGUUCUAAUGUCUAGUAAUUUUAACUGCAUUGAAAGAUAGACUGCCUCAAGGUUAAUGGAGGGUUAAACAAUGGUUCUCUUCUUUGGGAGACUGAAAAGAAGCUUCCCACUCUUUAGGAAAUGCUGGAAUUUGCUCUCUUCCCACUGAACUAGAUCCAUCCUUGACAUCGCCAUUUGCUAACCUCAGUUGUUUUUUCUGCUCCAUUAAAGUUGGGGCCACCAAAAAUAGUAAUGGUAUCAGACUACACCACCCUGGGUGGGUUUGUGCCCACCGCCGAUACUCUCCUUCCUACCUUAUCCUUGUUCUCAGUGUCAGUUUCUAAAGAGACUUUUGUAAUAUUACUUUUAGUAUAUUACUAAACUGGAUAAGAGAAAUAACUUGUCUAUAUAUGGUGUUCAAAGAGUCCACUAACCUUGUGAAACAAUGUGUUUAUUCAUUCUUCUAGGGAAAGGGUCUCAGCAGGCAUGGUCAUCUUAAAGGGCCCUGUAAUACCCAAAAAGCUAAAGUUCUGUUUGCUAAAGGCUCAGGCACUGCUUUUUAUUUUGUGUGGGAGCCUCAAGGGAAAGACAUUUUGAAACUUUAGUUAAGGAAUACCAUUGUAGUUCAUCAAAUUACAAGAAUUGCAGCAAACAAGGGGUGCCUGGGUGGCUCAGUCAGUUGAGUGUCUGACUCUUGAUCUUGGCUCAGGUCUUGAUCUCAGGGUCAUGAGUUCCGGCCCCACAUUGGGCUCCACGGUGGGCUUGGUGCCUACUUAAAAAAAAAAAAAAAAAGAAUUACAGCAAACAAAUAUUUCUAAAGAAGAAUUAUAGAUUUUUAAAGAAAGUGUAAUUAAAUGCAUUUAACCAUCUUUCAAUUUGUCCUCUACUGAAAAUUAAGUGGAUAAGAAAUUAAAUUAAUUCAAAAUGGGUCCCAAAUAUAAUUCUUCAACUAACUAAGUGGGAAUGUCUGGGGAUAUAUAUGCAUUUAUUAUAAUUGCAUACAUAGUAGUGUGUGCUUUGUGUUCCUGGGUGACAUUGAUCAGAAUGUUUCCAGUGAUGUGACCAAGUCACACUGCAGUCUUCUUGUUCUCCUUUGUGCUUGUUGUUCUGCUCCUCUUUGCUGCAGUUUCUGAGGAAUGUGCCUAGGAGUAGGCCCAGGCCUUGCUUUUGUAGAGAUCUGUCAACAGGGCUACUUUAUCUCAUAGCAGGUUCUCGUAGCUUAUCUGUGGGCCCAGUGUAUGAUAAUUGGAACUUCAAGGAUACUAGUCUGACUGCAGUUCAUCACAACCUUUUUUAAAAAUGCUAAACUAUUUGAGUCCUAAACUCUGCAUAUUCUAAAUUGUUCCGUGGAUAUUAGAAAUACGUUAUUUCUGUGCCCUUUUUUGUCUAUAGAUCCUUAUAUGCAUAAUUAUUAUUUAAAAUCUAUAAUUCCAUGCAUUGUCUGUGAGGGUGGGGGAAGGGUAGCAUCCCAUCAUGUUUUACAUUAACAAUAAGAUUUUGGCCCACUCCCUACUGAACCAGCGAAAAAGGGCAUGUUUGAGAGAAAAUAUGUGCUUUACUCAGACUCCAAUAAUUAGGCUGAUGCACUUGAUUUAUGUUACACAUUGAGCUCAUUCUUAAAAGGUAAACAUUUUACAGUAUGCCUCCUGGCUCACAAAUCAGUGCUUUUUCUACUAAACAUUCCUUCUGUCUUGCUAAUAAAAUCCAGUUUCCAGAAUCAUAGUUAGUUGCUAAGCAAAUAUGCAUAAAACCAUAAAUUUAUCCAAAUCAUUUAUUAUUUAAAGAGUAGUAUAUAAAUGUUUAAACAGAAGUCAUUGAUCAGUGAAAGCGACAGAAAAUAAGCAAAAUAAAAAUAGAAUUACGGUAGAAUAAGCUAAAAGACCUUACUUUAGGGAAUUGUUGGGAAAACUGACCUCAAAUAUGAGGUCUGGGGCUUCUUAGGCAAUAUUUUAUCUUAAAUUAGAAUCUGUAGGAAUCCCCUUAUCACUUAUUCUUUCUUUGCUAAUGUGUACUACUUAUUAACCAGGUAAGAACAUUUGAAAUGAAUCUUUAAGGCUACAACUUAUAUAACAUAAAUAUUACUGCUACAUAUGGACUAACAGUUUUAGCCUCAUUGCAAUACCUUGAACGGUUUUUGUAACUGCUAAAUGCCCUAUAAAAGGCUACCAACCCAUGUAAAUAGGUCUUAGCUCUUAGUCUGGUACAGCUUGGCAAAUUCUUUUUGACAUAGCUUGAAUUGCCAGGAAUGUAGGGUAAUCAUUCCUUGCCAAUGAACAUACAUCCUUUGCUGUUGAAGGUGAAAUCUGAGCCAAGUAAUUCUGCAGGACCUAGUGCAAUGGCCAUCCGCUCAGCAGAUUCAGAGAAGCAGUCUUAUUGAUCUCUUAUUUUACUAAUUUUUUAUCUUUCUGAGAUUGUGUAUGACCUCACUUGGAAUGUUAUUUCCCUAAACCAUUGUGCUUCACAGAUGUAAAUAUUUCCCAUUGGGAAAUACUGGAAGAUACAAAGCCAGGCCAAAUGUAUAUGACCAUGAGUGUGCAUGAGCUUGACAAGUGAAAUAGUUAUCUUUGAAAUCAUCAUACUCUUUUCCUUAAAGUCAAUUUAAAGAGGUUUCGGGGCACCUGGAUGGAUUAGUUGGUUAAAUGUCUGACUCGAUUUUGGCUCGGGUCAUGAUCUCAGGGUCAUGGGAUCCAGCCCUGACCUAUUGACAGGCAAGUUAGGUGCUGUCUUCUGGAGAUUUUAGUUAUUUCAUGAUGGAUUCUCUUGGAACAAGUCUGGAAGGUUUUUCAGACAUGUAUGACAUAUGAGGUUGAAUUCUCCUGACCAGAAGACCAGGGUUAGGAUAGAAGGCCCACCAGCUAUCUAGAUAGACCCAGCACUACCAAGAGUUAUCUGUAAGCUGCUUCUACUAGUCUGGUGCUUUAAGUGGGAAGUGUUCAAGAGUUCAAGAAACUCUCUUCUAUACGUUGUGUCUAUAAGAAACUAAAAAUAAUAGGAAAUCUUUUGAUGGGUGAGAUAAUCAUUUUAAAACAUCCAAGACAGGAGACUUUGAACCUGACAAAUAGGAAUAUUUUAAAAGGUCCCCUUAGGUGAGGUUCAGGUUACAUCUUCCACUAAGGAACUUAGAUGGAGAUAAGGUGGUAAAUACUUGGAAAUCUUAUAGGCUGUUAAUAUUUUUUGAGUUUAAAAAACAUCCAGUCUGGUUGCUGAAGAUUUCUUAAAAAUGGCCAAUAUGCUUGGGCACUUUGAUUGUUUCUUUAGAAUCCCAUCUAGAUGUUAUACUGUCCCUAUUGUUUCUAGGUGGGGGGACAACAGUUUUGAAUUGUCAGUAGGACUUUAUAAACUUCUUUAUAUCUUUAUAUCUUCUUUAAAUCGAUCAGAAAAAGGGUAUUUCCUGAUUAUUACUAGACAAAAUGAUACUGUGAAGCUUUAGCAAUAAAGACUUGCCAACAGUCAUGUCACUCUUGCAUAUAAGUAUGUUUCUACGUAUCCUGCAAAGGUACACAUAAUCACUGAAACAUACUCUUGUGAACAACACAUACAAUAUUAACCUGAAUAUUUGCAGGGGACUUCUUAGGGGGAUGAUUUUAUUUAGUUAGUUUGCAGCCUCAUCUUGAAAAACAGUAACAUCUGAAUGAGUUAACAGAGGAAACCAGUUGGUUGAUAAAUGUAAGAGUAACGAUGCCUGUGAACAAGAGGUCACGACAGCCUUAGUUUAGUAAUAGCCACAGCUCAAGACCAUAAGGACUCCUAGAUAUUUUAGUUCCUCCAGAAGUAAGGAACCUUUAUUGUUAUUACAGUUAUCUAAAAGAACUACCCAAAAGCUUCAGGAGAAUCAAUCAGUUGUGAUGUUUGAGAAGUAAAAGUAUAAUCUCAGGUAAGAACAGCACCUUCUGCCAACUAGGAAGAAUAUGGAGAAAGGAAAAGUUUUUACAACUUUGUGUUGAAAGCAGACUGCAUAUGCAGAGACCAAUUUAUGUUUUUCUCUGAGCCAUCAGUUCCCUCUUCUACACUUAAGUGUCUGUUUUGGUCAUAGCACCUAUGUAAACAAGAUAAGUUGGUGAAAACUCUUUAAAUAAGAUACACAUAAACGGAGAUGUGUGUGUGACCCUAUAUUUGCAAGGGAUGUGCCAAUGAUUUUGUUCUCGAAAUAAGUUUGCAAAAAAACUUUCAGAAAUCAAAAUGUUACUUUAAGUAUUAUUAACAAGGCCACAAAUUACUAAGACAAACAGAAUUAUAAUCAGAAUUACAGCCUAUAUAAGUUAUGCUAUUUUCACAGGGUAUAGCAACACUGAAGCCCAAGUGUCUAACAGGACUACUUUUUAAAAAAUCAUAUUUGCAAAGGCAGUUUUAUCAUAUAGAGUAGAAUUUUAUCUGCUUUUCUGCAGCUACGGGGAAGAGAGCACAUGAUUUCUUCAUUUAAGCUUCCUAACUUUUUUUCAAGCCAGCAAAUAGAAGUGCCUAAGUACUAAAAUUCCAUUAGUUAUUAUUAAGAGAGAAGAACAGGUACAAACUUAAAAUUCAAAAAAGAGCAGAAAGAUAGUGAAUGUUAACAAAUGGAAUAUGGAGCAUGUAACAUCUUGUCUCUACAUGUAAUAACAUAAGUAAAGUUUAUCGCAGGUUAAGAUGUUUAUUUGAGAGAGUCUAAACAGUGUAUUUACAUAAGGUAGACUUUAGUAAAAGGCUUAUAUAUUUAAAUCACCUGUUAUUAAAACUUUAUGAAUAUUUUUAGUCUUUAUAAAACAGUUUACAGUUACAGAUAGUUUUCCAUGGUUUGGGAACGCUAUUUGUUAUUUUCUUCCUAUCCCUUGACCCAUCCAUCAAAUUAUUUUUGUAAUUACCAAGAAUUUGCAAACAGAGGCUCUAUUUUUCGGGUAUUUUCUGAAACUGUGAAAAGUGUUAAAAAGUUUGUGUUUUCAGUGCUUUAGGAAAUAUUUAGGAAUACAUUUUUUAAAUUGUAUGCAAAUCAGCAUUUUUCAGAGUGUGCCAUGAUCUGCUUAUAGGUUAUUAGGAGAAAAAAAAAAGCAGUUACAUAAUUUUGGAAAGUACCAAGUUAAGCAAAGUUAUAAUUCUUUUUCCAUAAGACUUCUCAGGGCCUUUCAGAUCCUCCUAUUUUAUCCUGUGGGUGUUUCCUAUUUUCCAAAUAAACCUGGCCUUCUGAUACAGUUGAUAGUCUAUCAAAAAUACUGAAAAGUGGUCUAAACUUUGUUAAAAAUUGAACACAAAUGUCAAAAACAAGAGGUGCUGAUUCUGUGUUUGAGUGUGAGCUUAUUGAGGGCAAGGAUCACUAUUCUUUGUAACCCAUAUUGCAUAAAACUAAUGUAAUAUGCUAAGUAUAUAUUAUUAAAUAAGUUAAUACAGAUCUAAUAACUCUUGAAAGUCCCACUUUUAAAGUCUAUCCUAAUUAAGCUUCUGAUUUGCUAAAGUUAAUUAUAUAAAAUAACAUAUAUUUUCUUAUGUGUUAUUUUUUCUUCAUACCUGAAAGAACUAGAAUAUUUUUAAAUGGUCUAUUUUAUAGUUUUAUAUUUAGGAUGGUGACCAGUUAUUUUAUCUCUGUUGAAGAGAUGUAGACCUAACCACAUAAUAGAUCUGUUCAUAAACCAUGAAGCACUUCAAAAUUGCUAGGUACAGAAAUCAGAAAAUUUACUCACACCUACAUUUCAUUUCACCCUAACAUUUAUUCCUCUGGGAAUCUGAAACUUUUCUCAUAUCCUUCUUUAGUCUUGCUCCUACCUCCCAAGAAAACAAUUUGUCUAUGUUUCCGUUCCUUUCUUGAGUCCAAAUAAUUUACCAGAAUUCAUGGAAUCCCCUGCCAUUUCCUAUUGCCUCAUUAAAGAUCUUCUCCCAGUGUUUUCCCAUUAGAUUUACUUCCUCACUUACCAGAGGCUCCUUGGAGGUCUUGAGGAUUUUUUGGAUGUGCUAAAGAGUACUGAGUACACCUAAUCCAAAAUGAAGAGACUUCAUUGCUAUGCUAGUUGUAAUAGGUCCUCACUCUAGAGGGAGGACAUUUUGGAGCAUCUCAGUUACAAAACAUGGUGCAUAUUUAUAGGGAAUCUAGUGAACAUUGUCACCUUUUUUAUUAGAGAAAAGGGAAAUUUGAGUGUUUCUUGGAGAUUUAGGGGCCUUUAAGGUACUCAAAGAAUUUUGUAGAUUUCAGCUGGAGAUGUAGUUGAUACUAAAGACCAUAGCCAUAAUAUAGUGUCAGGAGCAAAUAGGAAAAAGAAAAAUAUAUGAACAAGUUCUUUGAAUUAAAAAAAAAAAAAAAUGGGAGGGGCACCUGGGUGGCUCAGUCGUUAAGCGUCUGCCUUUGGCUCAGGUCAUGAUCCCAGAGUCCUGAGAUCGAGCCCCGCAUCGGGCUCCCUGCUCAGUGGGGAGCCUGCUUCUCUCUCUCCCACUCCCCCUGCUUGUGUUUCCUCUCUUGCUAUGUCUCUCUCUGUCAAAUAAAUAAAUAAAAUCUUAAAAAAAAAAUGGGAAAGAAUAUUACUAUCUGUCAUUAAAUUAGUUUCAAAAUAGACACAUUUGAAUGUCAGGCAAAACAUAGGUUUUCUUAAUUGGAUUAUUCUUUUUAGAGGACACUUACUAGGUAGUGUGAAAGUUAUAUUUUAAUGAUUUAGGCAUCCAUUUUGCAGAAUCUUGUAAGAAUUUCCUGUGUAAGAAAGAACCUUUUAACAAGGGCUAUUUGAUAAAAAAUGUUUCUAAUGAAAAUUACAAGAUUUCCUGCCUUGAUUGCCUUUUAAAAUAAGAGCUUUUCCUGGAGUAGCUUAAAUGAAUCUGUCUUAUCUUGUAAAUAACAGGAGAGUUCCCUAAUGCCCCUUAGAACCAGAUGUUUCAUUGCUGUUUUCUUCUAUCUCCAUUCAAACUACAGUUUAUGGAAGGCUAUCAGCCAGACAACAUGCUAAGAUGGGAAACUUUAAAGAAGGUACAGGGCCUGCCUUAAAGUUUUAGAGUUCAUGAGUGAUGGAAAGAGUGGACAUAGAAAUAGAUUAUAGUAGAUCAAGGAGUACGAUGGAGGUGUUGACUUUGCCUGGAGAAAUCGGAGAGCUAUAUAGAAUAAGGGAUAUUUGAGUGUAUCUUAUAAGAGUGUUCAUAGUUGGUGGUGGAGAAGGGAAGGCUUGGGUAUUGAAAGACUUAAAGGCAUGAAAAUAUAUGGCACAUUUUGGGAAUGGUGACUAGUCCACUGUGGGUGAGCCCAUUUCUGGCUUACUUAGGCCAGUCUGGGAGAAGCAUAUAUGAUGUUAUGGAAUUUGGGCUUUUUUCCCUCAAGACUAUCAUUCUCAGCCAUUUUCUUUUGCCACAUAAAUGAUAGAUGUACGUAUAUGCAAAGAGAUGUGAAUUCCUAGGCUCUCGCUUUUCCUGCAAUCAUUUCCAUCCCAUUCAAGCUAUAGGAAUACAAGAAAGGAAAUUUUAUUAUUAUAGAGAAUUAUAGAGAUAUACAGACUUGACUUUUUAAAAUGUGUUUGACUUACAAUUAUUUGUGCACAACUGGUAAAAAUGGUUAUCUUGACUUAGGUUUAGAACAGAACAAUAUAAUAGGAGACUGGAAAUGAAGCUUGAGGAUGGAUUUGAGAAAUCAUGGGGAAGUACAGUUGUGAGGACAAGGGUAAUUUCCAGGACUCAUCCAUACUCUGCAUGGGUCAAUUCUAGUAAUACUGCUUUCAUAUUCCCCUUCUUCACACACUCUUUGUCUUGCUGUCUCACAUACACACACUAACUACACAUCUAUUGCCUCCACAUUUUUGUGGCCACUACCUCAUCACUACCGUUCUCCCAUAAAUCAGGACAUUUUUCAGUAGCUGUUUUGACAUGGGGUCAUGUCUCUUUGAAAUGGCUGCUUAAAAAUAACACAUUUUAAAAAAAAUUAAUAGGUAUGCAGCAGAUAUCCUUGGCCCUCAUAUUCCUUAUCCUUGACCAUCUCAUCCUUAUCCAUCAUUUAGAUGAUGAAGUACAAUUUAGAGAUGUGAGGCUAAGUAAGAUUAUCUGUUGUACAUAUUACUUGGUAUACUUGGUUAAAAACAAAACAAAAACACCUUUUAGGCAUCUUCACAAUGUCCCUUGCAUCAAAAGAAAUACUUCAGAAUGUUAUGUACUACUUCAGUAACAUCUUUUCCAAAAAGAUGAGUACUGAUACUUAUUUUUCUCUUCCUCAUUCAGAGGCCCAUUUUUCCUCCAAAUUCUCCGCUAAUAUCCCUUUUAUGCACUCACUCCAGCUCUCUGUUAUCUUUCAAGAGAACAACACCUGAAAUUGCCUGUUGAUCCUUUGUGUAGAUACACCAGGCUUCGGUACAAAAGUAGAACGAAGCUUUCUGGUUCUUAUAUUCUUAAUGCUAAACAGCUUGGCUGGUAUUUAGAUUUUAAUAUCUCAAUGAUUUGGUGGUUUCAGACAAUGAUUUAUAAUGACUGAUAGUUCACAGUUCAUCAUAAAAUAUAGAGCUUAGAGAUCAGCUAAUCAUACCUACACAUUUUAUAAAUGAGAAAAUGGAGAUCAAGAGCACUUAAAUAUUUAUUCCUGAUAAUACACAAGUUAGGCCUAGAAUGUCUCUUGAUUCUGUGCCAGUGUCUUAUGUUUUCUUCCCUUUCCUUUUUCUUCCCUUUCCUUUUUCUCUAAUUUUGAAUUGCAUAAUAUAUCUAUAUUUUUCUUGUAAAAAGUUAAAAUAUUGGUAGCUUAAGGGUUUGCCCCCAGAAUCACAGCCUUCUCCCUAGCAGUAACCACUGUUAACCACUUUGAUGUAGGUUCUAUUAGCACUUUUUUUUUACAUUUGCUUAUGUAAGUGUGUGUGUGUGUGUCUGUGUGUGCAUAUAUGUUACCUAAGUGGUAUUUUUUCUAUUAGUGAAUUUUUCAGUGUACCCAGUCAUCAUGUAAGCAUAGUUGGAUUACUUUUUACAAAUGUGUACUUUGCACUGCACACAGGGACACAAAUCUGCUGCUUAUCUGUCCUUUUCCUUUAGCCUCAUUCAAUGUUUGUCCAUUUAUUCAUUCAAUUAAUAUUAAGUGCUCAUUACAUACUACCUUCCAGGAUUUUAUAUUACACUUACAAAAGUAAAACAUGUACAAAGAUAACUAAUAUUAAAUAUCAAGUUCCAUUAAAGAUGUAUAAGAGAUCAUUCUGUAUAUCUCAUUACCUGGAAGAUCUGAAUAGCAUAGGAAAAGAAUUUUAAAUAUAUUAUAGAAAUUCUUUGAUGUCAUUUGUUAAAUUCAAUGUUUGUUUAGCUUAAAAGUAUUUUGACAAGACUCCACUUCAGCUGACCAUAACUGGAGUAUUAGAGCAUCAUAACUGAGACCUCAACUAUUUUUGAAUUUAUGUAAGCCUAAGGCAUAGCUUUAAAUUGUCUGUCUUAACAGCUUUUUUUUUUUUUUAAACUUCAGAGCCAGGUAGAAUUGCAGAAGCUAACUGCAACCAACAGUCAUCCACAAUAAAAACAUUGUCAGUAAAAACAUAUACUUGUUUUAGAAUUGGGUCAGACAUGAGCAAGUGAGAAACAAAAACUUCUGGGUGUUGAUUGAUUUGAAAGUUUGCUCUCACUACUCCCUGAUUCAGUUAUGGCAUCUGGAUAUCUGAGCAGAGGAAAUCCUGGAUCUUGUGACUUAAAGAACAGAAUCUAAAUUCAGAUCUAACCAUGUACACAGAGCGCCUACUUGUGCCAGGCACAUUCACAUAUGAGGUUUCAUUCAGUCACUCCUAGAUGAUUGAAUCAGCUCUAAAAAGUUAAAAUGAUUUUACUUGAAAUGAGAUUAAUGUUCCCUGAGACCCAGCACUAUAAAAUAAUUAUUUUUCCAGCAUGGUCAUUUAUUACAGCUAAAAGGAAAUGUUAAUAAAACAUUUGGAUAUUCCUCAUAUGCUCCUCAUUUAAAGUGAACAAAUUUAUAGCUCUUUCAAUAUGAUCAAACCCUACAGUUUAAAUCCUUUCUUUUGUAAUUAUUAUAAUUUACAAUAAUUUUAAGAAUAGUAAAUAUUUAAAUAUAGAAGAAUUGUCCAAAACUAAAAUAGGAAUUCUGGAUCUUACCAGCUCCAGAACUAGUUUAUUUUGAAAUAUUGAGUGAACAAUUGCAGAUUUCUAACCUUAUUUCUCUUUUAAAUAGGGAAAAAACUUUCUACUGAAUAUGGUAGAUUGAAUUGCCUAAGAACCCUAGGUACAAGAUACUGUAUAAGUUUGAAGUGGGAACUGCUUAAAGUAUACCCUGCAGGGAAGUGGUUUAGGUUGAAAGAUGUAAAGUGGGCAUAAAGAACAUUCAACCUCAUUGGACUUUAAAAAGGUAUUCUCUUGCUGGGAGUGACAAGCCUUUAAGAACCAUGUUCUUAAAAACAAAUAUUGCUCUUCAUAAUUCUUUUAGAGAAAAAAACAUGGAUGUUUGUAUGUGAUUCCCAUGUAUUGACUCUACAGUGGCAGACAAAUCAUCUCUUUAUCAUUUGGAUCUGAAGUGUGUCAAGACAUCAAAUGUUAAUUAGGGUCUUUGUGUUUCUAUGUUUAAAAGCAUGGAACAUAGGGGUGCCCAGGUGGCUCAGUCGAUUAAGUGUCCGACUCGAUGUCAGCUUAGGUCAUGAUCUCAGGGUCAUGAGCUCAAGCCCUGUGUUGGGCUCCGCACUCAACAUGGAGUCUGCUUGAGAUUCUCUACCUCUCCCUCCGCCCCCUCCCCCAUUCAUGCACAUAAACACUCUCUCUAAAAUAAAUAAAAUCUUAAAAAAAAAAAAAGCAUGGAACAUAGCUCAAAAAAAAAUAGUCUGAUUCUCAAGGUCUUGCACCAAAGCUAAAAAAAAAAAAUAAUAAACAUUGGUAAAUCAAUUUGAAUAUAAAACAUGUAAAAUUCAGUUAUAACCCUUUCUUACAUAUUUUGCUAUUCUGUGACCUAAAUUUAAAAUCUUGUCUGUAACUGUAAAAAUGUUAAUAUGCAGUGUUUAAUAUUAUUUAUACUAGGUUAGGAAAAGUACCAUGGAAGAAAAAGUCAAUAUUUUAAAUGAGAUGAAGACUGCUUGGUAUACAUGGAAAGAGAUUAUUUUGUUUUUUUGAAGGAAUGGAGAGGGAAAGACUGAGAAAAAGAAGAGUUUGCCAAUAGACUUGAGAGAGGUAAAGGCAGGAGAGAAAAUAGGUGAUAUUGAAGUUUUUAAGAAGAAAAAAUAAUUGAUAUGAUACCUAAGAGAAACUUGUAGUUAGUAGUUUUUAUAUGCACAGAGGAGAAAGGAAAGCUGGAAGCCAGUGAGGAAAUGGUACCAGUUGAUAACAAUAUAACAGGUAUGGGGAAUUUAGGUAAUAGGACAUUGAGAAAGGAAUAGAUCUUUAAAGUGCUAUGGAAUUACUGUCAAAAAUUACUCCAAGGUCCACUGUCUAGUACCAAUGACCAAAGAGCCCAGCACUUCAAGAUACAGUGACUGUAAUGCUAUCUCAUGAAUUUUGCCAUUUCCUGACUUCUUCCUAUCUUUUUCGGAUAACUCUAUCUAAAAUAUCUUAUUAUUUAUCUCCUACUCCCAUACUGCAUUAGAAUAUAAACUCCAUGAGGUUAAGAAUUUCUCUGUCUCGGGGCACCUGUGUGGUUCAGUCAUUAAGCGUCUGCCUUCAGCUCAGGUCAUAAUCCCAGGGUCCUGGGAUGGAGCGCCCCGAGUCGGGUUCCCUGCUCAGCGGGGAGCCUGCUUCUCCCUCUCCCACUCCCUCUGCCUGUGUUCCUCUCUCGCUGUGUCUCUGUCAAAUAAAUAAAUAAAUAAAAUCUUCAAAGAAUUUCUCUGUCUCUUUUUACAACUGUAUCCUCAGUGCCUAGGAUAGUAUAUAAAAAAAAAUGAAUUCCAGAUUGAACCAUCAGUGUGUUGAAAUGUAGCCUCUCAUUUCAAUAUUUAGGAUCAAUAAAUGAAAAUCAAAUAACUUAAAUUUGGUAGGGACCUCAGAGGUCAUACAGCCACUGUUUCUUCCACUAUCUGUGGGGUCUUUUUUUUUUUUUUUAAGAUUUUACUGACUUGACAGAAACAGCGAGAGAGGGAACACAAGCAGGGAGAGUGGGAGAGGGAGAAGCAGGCUUCCCGCCAAGCAGGGAGCCCGACGUGGGGCUCAAUCCCAGAACCCCGGGAUCAUGACCCAAACCCAAGGCAGACACUUAACGACUGAGCCACCCAGGCUCCCCAUCUGUGGGAUCUUUGAGGGAGAUUUUUACUAGUCUGAGUCGUGCCUUAGGUUUGAGAAUGACAGUUGUGAUUUAGUGCUUUUCUCCUCUUUUCCUUUCUCCAUUUCUCUUUUUUGGGGCUCCAAAGUAGAUAAUUUAACUAGUUUUUCCAUGUAACAACACUGAUCUGGUUCAGAUCCCCGAAUUAAUGCAGGAAUUCCUUAUAUGGCAUAUAGUUCCAUGGGGCCCUUCUAGGAGUAAAGAUUACACUGUCAGGGUGUGUGCGUGUGUGUGUGUGCAUGCACAUAUAUGCACGUGUGUUUCAUCCAAGAAAUACUUACUGAACAGCUUUUAUGUGCAAGACUAAGGAUAUAAUGUGAUGAAAGAUACGUAUUCCCUGCUCCCACAGAGCUUACAGUGUGGUGGAAUUUUACAAACAACAAAUGAAGUCUCUAAACUCUUUCCCUACCUUGUCUUUAUUCUCAAAGUUGUUUAGAAAGAAAAGGCAGAUUAAUGAGAAUAAAUCAAGAACCAUGGGAGUUAAACUUCCAAUGAAUGGUAGUAAGGGCAAAUACCCAUUUUUUAGUUUGCAGGGCCUUUAAAUUCAAUCCAGUUCAUUCAAUAAACACCUGCUGAGCAUCUCUAGCCCUUGGCUAGAUUCUGAAAAAUGAAAGCAAAGUAUGACACAGCCCCUAUUCACAAGGGAGAAAAAAGGCAAAUGUAUACUCUUCAGUGUUUUAAGUGCCACAUGUAACUGUCUUUUGAGUGAUCCAUUUCAUUGGACAGUUUUACCUAAUACAAAAUCAUUCAGACUAAAUUAAAAUCUGCCUCUAUUUAAUUUCUGUUUUCUGGUUCCAGUUUUGUUCUCUGCUCUUCAUUCAUUUAUUCAACCCAUAAACAUUUUGGGGGGAACCACCAUGUGCCAUAUGUCAACAGGUUUUCUUCAUAAACAAAUAGGACAGGUCCUUGUUUUCAAAAAGGUUAGGAUAUAAUUUUGUGACUGAGGAAGUUGCUUAACCUAUAAGCUCAGUUUCCUCCCCUGGGAAUCAAAGAUAGUAACAACUUCUUAGGAUUGUUGUGAGGAUUAAAUGAAUAAUGCAUGCAAUGCACUUAAUACAGAGCCUGGUACACAGCUUUCAGCAAAUGUUAGCUAUUAUUAUUGGUGCGUUUAAAGAAGGAUCCCAAUAGUAAAUUUAGUGGUUGCAUGGUUGAUAUGAAUGCCCUAACAGAAGUAAACCCAAAAUGCUACAGGAAUAAACCAGAGAACACCUAACCUUGUCUGGAGAAGCUGGGGAAACACCCUGCAGGAGGAGACAUCUGAACUGAGUAUUGCAGGACUAAAUAGUGGGGGUAGGAAGGGCACAGAGAAAAGUGAAAGAGCAUAGUGCAUUCUGGGUACUUCAGUUUAGACGCUACUUUGGGAAAGCUACAAUAUGAAUGGCUUUGGAUGCCAUGCUAAAUAAAAAUGUGUCAUGAAGAUAAUGGGGAACUAUUGAAAGCAUGCUGCACAAUUAAACUUUCUAAAUUAGGGCAAUGAUGUAGGAGAGUAGAAGACUGAAGAGAAAAUUAGGACUUGAUGACCAACUAAAUGCAAACGUAGGGGGAAAGGAAGAGAAGGUGUCAAAGAUAAUUUCUAAAUGACUGUGUUGAGUGAGUGAAAGGCAAUGACAUAGGGAGAAUGGGGGCGCUGUAGAUAAGUUCAAUUGCAGACAUGUUGAGUUUGAGGACCGCUAGGCACUUGAAUAUUCAGAUCAGGAGUUUAGAACUGGUCUAGGGCUACAGAUUUGGGAUUUGUCAACAGGUGUCAGUUGAAGCCAACAUGUAUAUACUAGGUAGAGGAAAGCCAACAUUAAGGGGUGAUCAAACAACUCAAAAAUUGAUUGAAAAUUUCCAGGCGUGUUAGAGGAAAAUCAAGAAAUAGCACUAUCCCAGAAACUGAGGAGAGAGUUGUAAAGAAGUUAACAGUCACCAGUACUGUGAGGAUAAGAAAAAAUUGUUCUUUGGAUUAAGCAACUAGGAAGUCAUUGGGCAAGAGCUAUUUCAGUAGUGAAGGGACCAGAAUGUAGAUUGCCAGAGAUUGUGGUGUGGAUAGGAAGUGAGUGCAGAAGACAUUGCCUGCAGGCCCCCUUUUCAAAAGCUGUGAAGAGCAGAGGAGAGAUAGUGUAGAAACUAGAGGACAAAGAGCAAGUCUGGUUUAUUUAAAGAUCACGGAGACUUGACCUCCUUUCUGUGUCCACAGGAAAGAGCCAGGAGAAAGGGAGAGUUGAAGAUACAGAAUAGAGUAUAAAUAAAUAAUAAGGAAUUCCUAAGAAGGCAGAAGAAGUGACAUCCUGUGGAUUAAUGUGUCUUGAACAAGAGAAAGGAUACCUCUUCCACUAACCAGAGCCAUGUGAACACAGGUACAUCUAAAGGGGGGAGCAGACUUGAAUUGUUCUAUGAUGUCCUUGAGUCCAGGUCAUCUUCUGAGAGUUGAUAAGGGGAGUGGGGAUGGGACUGAGCUACAAGAACUUGAAAAUAUCCCUUGAAAGGAGAAGAAACCUAGAAAUAGUGGACAAUGGUAGCAUUGCCGUUUGGGGCCCCAUGCUUUGUCAAUGUCUCCCUUUAGUAACGGAGACACCCACAGUGAGCUGCACUAGAUGGGAUCUGACCAGCACAGUGUAAGUAUGUUGGUGUUUGAUCUUACGCCUAUCACCUCAUGGUCCCAAGUUGGUUUUUAAAGUUCCAGACAUCACAUCUAUAUCAUCCAUGUUCAAGAGAGCGAGUGCAGGAGGGAGAGAAGGAGAGAGAAUCUCAAGCAGACUCCACGCUGAGCACAGAGCCCAACAUGGGCUCGAUCCCAUGACUGCAAGAGAUCAUGAGCUGAGUUGGAUGCUCAACUGACUGUGCCACCCAGGUGACCCUGAAAAUUACUUUUUUCAUUCAAAACUAGUUUCUAAUCCACCAAUGUUACUGUGCAUAACUGUAGUCCGUUCAUUAUCAAUUCUGUAUAAUAG